rnacentral:RNase_P_RNA from 2 species
UGAGUAAGUCAGAUGAUCGCAUGCGUAAGCAUGAGGAAAGUCCGAGCUCCAUAGGGCAAGAUGCUGGGUAACACCCAGUGGGGGUAACCCCAAGGAUAGUGCAACAGAAAUAAACCGCCUAAGUUUAUACUUAGGUAAGGAUGGAAAGGUGAGGUAAGAGCUCACCAGCAACUAGGCGACUAGUUGGCUCUGUAAACCCCAUCUGGAGCAAGACCAAGUUAGGGAGAUUUGGAGGUGGCUGCCCGUCACCUUCCCGUAUGGUAGGUUGCUUGAACCCAUUGGCAACAAUGGGUCUAGAUAGAUGAUCGUCUAAUACAGAACUCGGCUUAUAGGCUUAGUCACUUG